UACGUAGGGUGCGAGCGUUAAUCGGAAUUACUGGGCGUAAAGCGUGCGUAGGCGGUCCGCGAAGUCUGAUGUGAAAUCCCCGAGCUCAACUCGGGAACUGCGUCCGAUACUGGUGGGCUUGAAUCCGGGAGAGGGAUGCGGAAUUCCAGGUGUAGCGGUGAAAUGCGUAGAUAUCUGGAGGAACACCGGUGGCGAAGGCGGCAUCCUGGACCGGCAUUGACGCUGAGGCGCGAAAGCUAGGGGAGCAAACGGG
rnacentral:rRNA from 1 species